rnacentral:miRNA from 1 species
AGGGACUGCAGAGAUGGCACUG